rnacentral:lncRNA from 10 species
CUCUUGGUCUUGAUGCUUGGGGCCUCCAGGAUGCCUACAGUAUAGAAGAGACUCGUUCUGAAAUCCCUCCAACUCCUUGAGCCAUUGAUUUCUCAUUGACCAAGCAUGAUGGAAAAAAGCAAGCACACAGGCUCAUAGGCGGAAGGGACUUGCCUUGUCUUGGAUGAGACUUGAGACUGUGGACUUUUGAGUUAAUGCUGAGGACGGGACUUGCUCCUCUCUGCCUUCUGCCAUGAUUGUGAGGCCUUCCCAGCCAAGUAGAACGGCUAUUUGCUUUUGAGCUACUCCGGGAGAGGAGCAGAGUCGGUUUGAGUUGCAUGACUGACAUCUUCUGGCUACAGUGGAUAUUACAGAAAGACUGAAACUCCGCAAAAGUGUGUUUGAAAAAAAGAAAAGCACCCUGGAAUUUGGAUCAUUAAGUAUCUGCCAUUUAGAAUGUGCCCACAACUGCCAAAUCAAUAAUAGAAUAAAGCAAGGGGAAUCCCUGAGUCUUCAUGGAGUAAGAGCCACACCUUCUUAAGGGGAUCAAGGGGCAAAGUGACUUGAAGACAAUAUUAUCAUGAUAAAUAAGGAAAUAAGGGAAAGUGUGGAAGGUUUUCAUCUCAAUGGACAUGAAAAAGUGUGCAUUAUUAGAGUUGAGUGCAUUUAAUAAGCCAGGAUUAUCUCCUAGAGUUGCAGAGCAAGACAAAGCAAGUAGAGUCGGUAUCUGGAGACCUUUUUGCAAAGAAGAGACAAGCUCUCUCUAGGCUAUAUCACUAGUCUCAACUUCCUGGGCUCCAGCCAGACUCUAGACAUGUGACCUGGAGAUGCAGCAUCCAUCUUGUGACCAUGAAGCAAUAGGGAUAAGGGUAAAAGUCUACACAUUGCAGAUUGCAGAUAAAAACAUGAAA